rnacentral:rRNA from 1 species
UACGAAGGGGGCUAGCGUUGCUCGGAAUUACUGGGCGUAAAGGGCGCGUAGGCGGCACUGUUAGUCAGGCGUGAAAGUCCUGGGCUCAACCUGGGAACUGCGCUUGAUACGGCAGAGCUAGAGGAUGGAAGAGGCUCGCGGAAUUCCCAGUGUAGAGGUGAAAUUCGUAGAUAUUGGGAAGAACACCGAUGGCGAAGGCAGCCAUCUGGACCGACACUGACGCUGAGGCGCGAAAGCGUGGGGAGCAAACAGG